rnacentral:rRNA from 1 species
GACGAACGCUGGCGGCGUGCCUAAUACAUGCAAGUAGAACGCUGAAGGAGGAGCUUGCUUCUCCGGAUGAGUUGCGAACGGGUGAGUAACGCGUAGGUAACCUGCCUGGUAGCGUGGGAUAACUAUUGGAAACGAUAGCUAAUACCGCAUAACAGUAGAUGUUGCAUGACAUUUGCUUAAAAGGUGCAAUUGCAUCACUACCAGAUGGACCUGCGUUGUAUUAGCUAGUUGGUGAGGUAACGGCUCACCAAGGCGACGAUACAUAGCCGACCUGAGAGGGGGGUCGGCCACCCUGGGAGUGUGACACGCCCCAGACUCCUUCGGGAAGCAGCAGUAGGGCAUCUUCGGCAAUGGACGGAAGUCUGACCGCGCAACGCCGCGUGAGUGAAGAAGGUUUUCGGAUCGUAAAGCUCUGUUGUCAGGGAAGAACGCGCGUGAGAGUGGAAAGUUCACACUGUGACGGUAUCUUACCAGAAAGGGACGGCUAACUACGUG